CCUACGGGAGGCAGCAGUGAGGAAUAUUGGUCAAUGGACGAGAGUCUGAACCAGCCAAGUAGCGUGAAGGAUGACUGCCCUCUGGGUUGUAAACUUCUUUUAUGUGGGGAUAAAAUGUUCAGCGUGUGGGAUUUUGUAUGUACCUUAUGCAUAAGGAUCGGCGAACUCCGUGCCAUCAGCCGCGGUAAUGCGGAGGGUCCGAGCGUUAUCCGGAUUUAUUGGGUUUAAAGGGAGCGUAGGCGGAUUGUUAAGUCAGUUGUGAAAGUUUGCGGCUCAACCGUAAAAUUGCAGUUGAAACUGGCAGGCUUGAGUACAGUAGAGGUGGGCGGAAUUCGAGGUGUAGCGGUGAAAUGCGUAGAUAUCACGAAGAACUCCGAUGGCGAAGGCAGCUCACUGGACUGCAACUGACACUGAGGCUCGAAAGUGUGGGUAUCAAACAGGAUUAGAUACCCGAGUAGUC
rnacentral:rRNA from 1 species